CUGCCUGGCGCACUCCCCCUCCUCCUGAUCCAUGGCUGGCGGCUCACACGCUCCACUCUCAACUGUGCCUCCUCAAGGAGAAGUCCUCCCUGAUGACUCGGUCUGAAGCGGCUGCACACCCCUCCCUCCACCAUGCUGCUCUGUCAUCAAUCUCUAUUUUCCUCAGCACACCUCCCAUGAGCUGUGUUCAUCUAAGACUUUAAACUCCAUCGGGCGGUACCUUGCAAGCACUCUUCAUAGUCUAUAUCGCCAGUUGGCGGGUGCACGGUAUUCGCUCUGACGAGUGAAUGAACGAACGAACGAACGAACAAAUGAUACUACCCACGACUCCCUGUGGGAUCUGGUCCUCGUAGGCGGAUCUUCCCUCGGAGGCUGCAGUGCUAACCCAGGCCUGGUGAAUGGCAUGGGGAACAGACACGUAAGAAGUAUCAUUCAAUGAAUGAGCUGUCUUGUCUUCAGGGCCUCAGUUUCCACACUUGUAAAAGGAGGCGUUGGAAGAAAUCAAUGCUUUUCAACCCCUGUGACUGGAAACCCUCUGGAAGGGGCUCCCACCUGCUCCUUUCCCGCUGUGGGUUUCAAAUCGGCAAAUGAGCACACUCAAGACGAGGGAACGGAGUUUUCGUGAAGCCGGGUGUCCUCCUGGAAAUGAAGUCUGGGACCCUCCACCCUGGUGCUCUGAUGAUUGCCACAAACAAUGAGGCAUUUUCCACCACACAAAGAAGAAUUGAACCGCCCGAGGACUCUGCUUUUGCUUUUGUCUGUUUCCUAUUUGGGGCUUCCUUUGAAAAAGUGGUCUUGCUGCCUUAUAAAGUUUGAUGAUCUCUGAA